UCCACACGACUCCACUUCCACAGACCC
rnacentral:piRNA from 1 species